rnacentral:lncRNA from 1 species
GGUAUUUUCAGCCAGAGUGCCAUGGCGGGGCCAUUUAUACCACCUUCUCCCAUAAAGAUGCAGUGCUACAGCAACUGUGAUCUUUCAGUACUUUCUGAAGGAGAAAGCAACAGGAGAAGAUGGGGAUCUACUUUGCAAUGAUUUUUGUGGUUGUGAAACUGGAGGAACUUGAAUUUAAACCUUCUGUAAAAGACUUUCCCAGAGGUCCUUCUGGAGAUUUGAAGCCAGAAAGAAACAAUAAGAUCUGCAUUACGUAAGUCCUACAAUGUCACAGAUGAACUUUUUCAUCUGUGUGACACACCAGUGCUGCUUAUCCACUGUCCCAAGCUGCUCCAUUACUGCAUUUCACUAAAGGGACCUCAAGUGAAAACUGGGAAUAAGGCCAGGAUACAUUGCUAAUUUUGUAGGCUUGUUUCCAAACAGUCUUCUCCCAGAGCACACUGCCUGUGUUCCCGUGCCACGGGUGAAGCGUGUCAGCUGCUGGGUGCAGGCUGGCGCGUGACUGGCGUGUGCCAGGGCUCUGGGGCACAUGCCUGGGCUGGCAUCGAGCCCAUUUCCCCACAGCAGGACUGACUUGAGAACCAGGCAGUUAAAAAACAAGUGUGUGAAUCCUGGCAUUGGUAAAUCACCCAAAUUUGGCUAUUAAUCUUUUAACAGAUAUGUGUUUUAUUGUUCUGUAGGAAAACUCCAUCAAGCAACUGAAAGAUUUUCCCCAGUGAAAUGCAGCUUGCUGUAUAUUUUCUCUUUUUUCACCCAUGUUGGCAUUAAAUAACAGCAUAUUUAUAUUUAUCUGCUUUUAUUUCUUUGUUUCUAGUCUCCUUACCUGGCAAAUUAUUUGAGAAAAGGCUUCUUACUGCUCUUUGUUAGGACAAAGCUGCUGCU